AGAACGUACAAUGCUAAAUUGUGUAGUAUAAUCUGAUUUACAUCAGUGCUGGAAAUGGUCUGACCUGCAUCUGUAAUUCUGUACUUCAGAUGUUUAGAAUAAAAUCAGAUUCUCUAUAAAGAGCGUCCUUGGAAUUCGAUUGACAAAAAUAUGAUCAACCAAUGCAGAUCUGUUUGAGUCUAGUAGAUCAACUGAAUUCUACUAAUCUCUCUAGACCCAGAGAUUAAAUUUUCACAUCUAAAAAUGUUGUGCUUGUUGUGUACUCAAGCAGAGAUCUGAUGCUUCGGAGAUGUAUCUCUCCAUGUUUACAAUCGUAUUCCUCAGUGAGGAAAAACUUCAAACCUCCACUUAACAAUUCUGUUUAAUUAGCGCUGGAAUUUCUCCAUAUAGAUCUAUUUUGACAUGAUCGGGGCCGUUCGGCCCCUGUAACAUGUUCUCACCUGCCUGCUACCUGCUGUCCUCGUUACUUCAACGCCUACUGUACAAUGACCCACUGAACAGCCAGGCUCGCGUUGAUCAGAGUGAGAAGGUUGGCCCCGACUGCAGAGACGGACAAGGGAGAGACGACAGCAGGGACAAAGGCUGGGCAGGAGACAGCCUGGCGAAGCCUCGCUGGGAGACGCACAGCCUGAGAGACUCGCAGGGUAAACAAGGUCCAGAGCUGAAGCUACAGCAGAGAACCCCUCGCCGGAGGCCUCACCAGCCCAAGCUGCUGAACAGCCCCGAAGACAGUCUCUACUACAACCAGCUCAAUAGAACUCUGGAUUACCAGGGGAGCAAGAGGAAGCCGAGGAAACUUGGCCAAGUCAAAGUGCUGGACGCGGAGGAUGAGUACUACACGUUACUGUCGGUGGUGGAGUCGAUCCCUGAGGAAGACUACUCGCCUGGGCUCCCUUCCUCCCUGUCUAGAGGCCCCCUUGUCAGUCAGAGCUGAGCCUUGCUCCUCCAUCCCUGUCAACCGAUUGCCUUCGUUGAUCCUGAUGUGAUCCUCAACCAAAUAGGAUGUUCAUAUCUGAGUUGUGCUGUCUACAUAUGGUUUACCUUAUUUAUUUAUUUUAAGUCGAUGUGAAAUACCGUCUACGACAGAGACUCUACGGAGAAUGUCUGUUCACGUAACAGCAUUUCUUUCUUUCUUUGACCAGUCCUUCCCCUCCGCCGGCCAGCAUAACAGCAUCCAUACUGAUCUGACCUCGCCCCAGAGUCUGGCCAUUUCUCUGCCGUUACCCCAUCAGUUCAUAGGCAGUCUCCAGGGUCUUGCUGACAAGGGGUUCAGCUCUGCCUCCUCUACUGACCCCGCGUGUAAACGAGGCUCACGUACGCUUUGGUCAGCUUGUUUCGUAGCGCCUGGGCUGCGAUGCGCCCUGGUCCAGGAGGUGCUCCUCCAGGAGCCGUGGGGGCGGCUCAGCCCAGCACGGCUCCCCCCGCUCCCCCAUGACUGUGUGCUGAGCCGUGGGAGCCGACCGAGAACAUUAAUCCCUUCAAAGGAACAGAUCUAAUUCGAAAUCAGCCGCUCCAAACUAGUUGAGAGGACAGUGAUUGUUUCUGCGGGGAAACACGAUAAAGAUCACUGCGUUGAUAUAGAAAACUACCAAUCCAGUGCUGUGGAA